AGUUUAGUCUUCAUUCUUUUUGUCUUAAGUUCUCUUGAAGGGAAGUCAGAGAGUCAUAGACCUGUUUUAGAAAGAUGACUGACAUCCACAUAAAGGAUGGUUUGUAACAGAGAGACCAGAUAAGAUGCUGUCUUUAUCGUCCAUAUGUUGUCAGAGAGGUUUCUCAAAGGACAAUAUCCAAGGAUAAGUUUGUAUGAGAGAAGAUUGACUCCCUUGCUCUCAACUGCAAAUACUGUUACAAAAAAUGUAAGCAGUAUUUAGGACUGCUAGACAAGUAGGACUGAGGAUCUAAAGUCCAAAUUUCAAGACCAAUGCAAUGAAGCACUGAAUGUCCAGAGAGGCUACAAGGGAGUGAGUGUGGAUUGAAA
ensembl:lncRNA